UGGGGAAUUUUGCACAAUGGGGGAAACCCUGAUGCAGCGACGCCGCGUGAUUUAGAAGGCCUUCGGGUUGUAAAAAUCUUUUGUAUGGGAAGAAAAUGACAGUACCAUACGAAUAAGGACCGGCUAAUUACGUGCCAGCAGCCGCGGUAAUACGUAAGGUCCGAGCGUUGUCCGGAAUCAUUGGGCGUAAAGGGUACGUAGGCGGAUAAGCAAGUUAGCAGUGAAAUCCUAUAGCUCAACUAUAGUAAGCUUUUAAAACUGCUCAUCUUGAGGUAUGGAAGGGAAAGUGGAAUUCCUAGUGUAGCGGUGAAAUGCGCAGAUAUUAGGAGGAAUACCGGUGGCGAAGGCGACUUUCUGGCCAUAUACUGACGCUGAGGUACGAAAGCGGGGGUAGCAAACAGG
rnacentral:rRNA from 1 species